rnacentral:rRNA from 1 species
CAAUAGCGUAUAUUAAAGUUGUUGCAGUUAAAAAGCUCGUAGUUGAAUUUUUGCUUGCCGCCGAUGUCGGAACUUCCGUACGUUCGGCGGCGUGCAUCCUUGGGUGGAACCUGUGUGGCAUUAGGUUGUCGUGCAGGGGAUGCUCAUCGUUUACUGUGAAAAAAUUAGAGUGUUCAAAGCAGGCUUACGCCGUUGAAUAUAUUAGCAUGGAAUAAUAAGAUAGGACCUUGGUACUAUUUUGUUGGUUUGCGCACCGAGGUAAUGAUUAACAGGGACAGUUGGGGGUAUUCGUAUUCCAUUGUCAGAGGCGAAAUUCUUGGAUUUCUGGAAGACGAACUACUGCGAAAGCAUUUACCAAGGAUGUUUUCAUUAA